CUAAGAUUAACCCAUGCAUGUUUUUGACAUUUGAAAAAUGGACUGCUCAGUAAUACUCACUUUAUUUUAUGUAAAUUUUUAAUUAACUACGUUAAAGUGUAGAUAAGAUGUUUACAGUAAGAGUGAGACCUAUCAGCUAGUUGUUAAGGUAAUGGCUUAACAAGGCUGUGACGGGUAACGGUAUUACUUUGUAAUAUUCCGGAGAAGGAGCCUGAGAGACGGCUACUAAGUCUAAGGAUUGCAGCAGGGGCGAAACUUGACCUAUGGAUUUUAUCUGAGGCAGUUAUGGGAAGUAAUAUUAUAUUGUUUCAUAUUUUAAAAGUAUAUGAGGUGAUUAAUUGGAGGGCAAAUCAAGUGCCAGCAGCCGCGGUAAUACUUGUUCCAAGAGUGUGUAUGAUGAUUGAUGCAGUUAAAAAGUCCGUAGUUUAUUUUU
rnacentral:rRNA from 1 species